rnacentral:rRNA from 1 species
AUUGAACGCUGGCGGCAUGCCUUACACAUGCAAGUCGAACGGCAGCACGGGAGCAAUCCUGGUGGCGAGUGGCAAACGGGUGAGUAAUACAUCGGAACGUGCCCAAUCGUGGGGGAUAACGCAGCGAAAGCUGUGCUAAUACCGCAUACGAUCUACGGAUGAAAGCAGGGGAUCGCAAGACCUUGCGCGAAUGGAGCGGCCGAUGGCAGAUUAGGUAGUUGGUGAGGUAAAGGCUCACCAAGCCGUCGAUCUGUAGCUGGUCUGAGAGGACGACCAGCCACACUGGGACUGAGACACGGCCCAGACUCCUACGGGAGGCAGCAGUGGGGAAUUUUGGACAAUGGGCGAAAGCCUGAUCCAGCCAUGCCGCGUGCAGGAUGAAGGCCUUCGGGUUGUAAACUGCUUUUGUACGGAACGAAACGGCCUUUUCUAAUAAAGAGGGCUAAUGACGGUACCGUAAGAAUAAGCACCGGCUAACUACGUGCCAGCAGCCGCGGUAAUACGUAGGGUGCAAGCGUUAAUCGGAAUUACUGGGCGUAAAGCGUGCGCAGGCGGUUAUGUAAGACAGUUGUGAAAUCCCCGGGCUCAACCUGGGAACUGCAUCUGUGACUGCAUAGCUAGAGUACGGUAGAGGGGGAUGGAAUUCCGCGUGUAGCAGUGAAAUGCGUAGAUAUGCGGAGGAACACCGAUGGCGAAGGCAAUCCCCUGGACCUGUACUGACGCUCAUGCACGAAAGCGUGGGGAGCAAACAGG